rnacentral:rRNA from 1 species
UACGUAGGGUGCAAGCGUUGUCCGGAAUUAUUGGGCGUAAAGAGCUCGUAGGCGGCUUGUCACGUCGACUGUGAAAACCCGGGGCUCAACUCCGGGCCUGCAGUCGAUACGGGCUGGCUUGAGUGCGGUAGGGGAGACUGGAAUUCCUGGUGUAGCGGUGAAAUGCGCAGAUAUCAGGAGGAACACCGGUGGCGAAGGCGGGUCUCUGGGCCGUAACUGACGCUAAGGAGCGAAAGCGUGGGGAGCGAACAGG